CUGGCUUACCUCCUCAGUUGUUUGCAAAGGCUUCUAUUGCCAUUGCGGAUUGUGGGUUUCCUGUGUUGCCUACCUAAGCUACGGUAUUGUCUCGUUUGAUUUAACUUUAUUUUGUCUUGUGUCAAUCGACAUCAGACGGACCCUGAAGCUGUUUCUUUGAACCAYAACAUUAAUGCAUGCGUUGAUGUUGUGGGCCAUUGAGUAUUGCUUGGUAUCUUGGAUAUGGAACCUGAAGUGGGCAUGGGAUCUCAUGGGGUCCCUCCUUUGCCCUCAUUUUAGCGUUCGCGCUUCUCUAAAACGACUGUCCGCCACGCCUAGGCUCGUACCAGCUUGGUGGUUAUGUCAAAGAGGAAUGCUACCUGGUUGAUCCUGCCAGUAGUCAUAUGCUUGUCUCAAAGAUUAAGCCAUGCA
rnacentral:misc_RNA from 1 species